CUUCUUGCGGCGUAGUGGUAACGGGCGUGUCUAAUGAGUAGGAGUUGUGAGUUCGAAUCUCACCGAGAAGA
rnacentral:tRNA from 1 species